rnacentral:rRNA from 1 species
UACAGAGGGUGCGAGCGUUAAUCGGAAUUACUGGGCGUAAAGCGUGCGUAGACGGCUAUCUAAGUCGGGUGUGAAAUCCCUGGGCUCAACCGAGGAAGUGCAUCCGAAACUGCGGAGCUUGAGUAUGGAAGAGGGUCGCGGAAUUCCCGGUGUAGAGGUGAAAUUCGUAGAUAUCGGGAGGAACACCAGUGGCGAAGGCGGCGACCUGGGCCAAUACUGACGCUGAGGUGCGAAAGCGUGGGGAGCAAACAGG